UACAGAGGUGGCAAGCGUUGUUCGGAAUUACUGGGCGUAAAGGGCGCGUAGGCGGCAUGCCAAGCGUGUGGUGAAAGCCCGGGGCUCAACCCCGGGUCGGCCGUGCGGACUGGCGUGCUCGAGCACUGUAGGGGCGGGUGGAAUUCCGGGUGUAGCGGUGGAAUGCGUAGAGAUCCGGAAGAACACCGGUGGCGAAAGCGGCUCUCUGGGGACCAUCUGACGCUGAGGCGCGAAAGCGUGGGGAGCGAACCGG
rnacentral:rRNA from 1 species